GCGUCGUUAGUCUAGUGGUUAAGAUACGAGCUUCCCAAGCUUGUGACGCGAGUUCAAUUCUCGCACGGCGCA
rnacentral:tRNA from 1 species